AUUUGCAUUUUCUAGGGAACAUACCGAAGGGGAAGUAACAAAUAUCAAAUUUGCACUUUAUGGAACGGAUCUGUUCUGACUUCUGACUUAUAUUUUCAUUACUUUGCUCAGUCUUUCUGUUGAAUUUUAUCUAUUCAAGUACCAAUCGAUACCGCAAAAAUGAGUUACUGGAGAGCAGCUGGAUUGAACUAUGUUAACUACUCUAACAUUGCAGCCAAAGUUGUAAGGAGGGUACUAAAAAGCGACCUACAAGCAAGUGCGAGUAAGCGGGAUGAAUCACACGUAAAGUUCACUCCGUGGAAUAAAGGAAAGCCAGCCAGUGUUGAAACUUUCAGAUGAAAAAGCUUAAACUUUUAAGGUUAAAUCUAAAAAGUAUUAUGCAAAUAUCUAAGCCAGGCCAAUAGUUCACCAACAAAGAAGAAUUAAACCUUUCAAGUUAUGAUUAAUUUGUAAAGCUUGUUACAUUAUAAUAUGAAUGAUUUACAAAAAUAUGUUUCUUUUUUAAAUAUGAAUGUUUGCAUUGUUGUAGAUAAAAUAAAAUUAGAUAAAUAAAUAAUAAGAAUUAUUUCUUGCUUUUUA